rnacentral:rRNA from 1 species
AUGGCUACACAAACCGUUGAAGAUAGUUGUAAACCUAGGCCAAAACGAACUGGUGCAUGUAGUUUACUGAAACCCUUGAAUUCGGAAUAUGGGAAAGUCGCCCCGGGUUGGGGCACUACUCCUUUUAUGGGCCUUUCCCUAUCAUGCCCAAUGAACGUCGCAUGGAACCGCAGCUGCCUGCUGCAGGUAUAUUGGUUAUGUACCUCCGCGAAGGCCAUGGAGGACAGCCACGUCGCAACCACUUGA